AGGACUAAGUUUAGGGCAUGACUCUGAUACCAUGUUAGGAAUCACGACUCUUCAUAAUAAUAUAAUAUUGUCCCCUUUAAGUAUAAGCUCUCGACUUUGCUUUGAGCUU